UACGAAGGGGGCAAGCGUUGUUCGGAAUUACUGGGCGUAAAGGGCGCGUAGGCGGCCUGCUAAGUCGAACGUGAAAUCCCUGGGCUCAACCCAGGAACUGCGUCCGAUACUGGUUGGCUUGAAUCCGGGAGAGGGAUGUGGAAUUCCAGGUGUAGCGGUGAAAUGCGUAGAUAUCUGGAGGAACACCGGUGGCGAAGGCGACAUCCUGGACCGGCAUUGACGCUGAGGCGCGAAAGCCAGGGGAGCAAACGGG
rnacentral:rRNA from 1 species